AUUAGUGGCGAACGGGUGAGUAACACGUGGGCAAUCUGCCCUUCACUCUGGGACAAGCCCUGGAAACGGGGUCUAAUACCGGAUAACACUCUGUCCCGCAUGGGACGGGGUUAAAAGCUCCGGCGGUGAAGGAUGAGCCCGCGGCCUAUCAGCUUGUUGGUGGGGUAAUGGCCUACCAAGGCGACGACGGGUAGCCGGCCUGAGAGGGCGACCGGCCACACUGGGACUGAGACACGGCCCAGACUCCUACGGGAGGCAGCAGUGGGGAAUAUUGCACAAUGGGCGAAAGCCUGAUGCAGCGACGCCGCGUGAGGGAUGACGGCCUUCGGGUUGUAAACCUCUUUCAGCAGGGAAGAAGCGAAAGUGACGGUACCUGCAGAAGAAGCGCCGGCUAACUACGUGCCAGCAGCCGCGGUAAUACGUAGGGCGCAAGCGUUGUCCGGAAUUAUUGGGCGUAAAGAGCUCGUAGGCGGCUUGUCACGUCGGAUGUGAAAGCCCGGGGCUUAACCCCGGGUCUGCAUUCGAUACGGGCUAGCUAGAGUGUGGUAGGGGAGAUCGGAAUUCCUGGUGUAGCGGUGAAAUGCGCAGAUAUCAGGAGGAACACCG
rnacentral:rRNA from 1 species